GUAAUUAUACUGCAGAAUGAGCUCCUGCCACUUUUUAAUAAGUUUGGGAUGAAUCUACCACCAAUGUUACUUCCAUAUUUUUUUGUGGAUACAACACAUGAACGUAUUUCUUAACUAGAAAUAUAAAACGUUGUGCUUGUUUCAAAAACACAACAUAUUUCAUUACUUGAAAAUUUUCUGUGGUGUAAGUAGAAAUGACUACUGGAGCUGGAAGUAUAACUGUCUUGUCAGUUGUAAACUUUAAGGGAAGUGCUCCUGUACUCAUAGUACUUUAGUUCUUUUGGCAUAUCCUAGACUUCGUGCUCCUAGGAGUCUGACCUUUUGCAUUCAAACACUUUUUGUUCUUACUAUCAGUAAUCUCUCAAUGAAACUUUAUAAUGUUACUUGCACUAAAAACUAACUCAUGCAACUUACAGUCUCACACACAGUUCAGAAUAAAAAAAAAAAAUGCAACAAGACAAGGAAUUUUACAUGGUUUGGCAAUAUGCUGACAUCCACAGAAAACCACUUGUGAAUUUUUCACUAUGAAAGAAAAUGUUACAAAAGAGUCUAUACGUACCUGAAGAGUUUUCCAUUUACAAAAAGGUGUAGUAGGAGAAACACAAAAUUGCAUAAAAUAUCCUUAUAAGUAGAACCAACAUUGGCUAACAGAAGUGUGUCGUAUUGGAAGGGUUUCUUCCCUCACAAACCCAACUAUUUAAUUAUGGUUGAGAAUAAACUCAAAAUGGAGUUUUAAAACCCUUAUUCCCAAAACGCACUUUUUCCUUGGAGCUUUUAGUGUAGAGUUUCUUCUCUAAAUAUGUGCCAUUUAUCUCUACUGCUUGAAUUCUAACAUCAGUUGUCUUUUGUUCUCUGAGGUUGUGUCACUAUAAGGCUUAAUUUUAUAUUCUGGCUGCCUGCAAUGCUUUGGAGUUUUGAAAGAUUGAAGAAAUAUAAUAUGCAGGCUGUGCUUGUGUCUCAAAUUUUUGGCAUUAUUUAACAAUAGAAGGAACGUUGGGUGAUAAAAGUUUGUUAGUGGUUCAAAAUUGUUAUUUAUGUUUUCUUAGCUUCUAUGUUCUCAUUUUUUUAUUUUUAAUUUGGAAUU
rnacentral:misc_RNA from 1 species